CCGCCAUAGUGGGUGAUAGCCCCGUAUAUGAAAAAUCUCUUAGUCAUGAAAUCGAGUAGGACGGCGGGACACGUGRWAYCYUGUCUGAAUAUGGGGGGGACCAUCCUCCAAGGCUAAAUACUCCUGACUGACCGAUAGUGAACCAGUACCGUGAGGGAAAGGCGAAAAAGAACCCCGGCGAGGGGAGUGAAAAAGAACCUGAAACCGUGUACGUACAAGCAGUGGGAGCACCUUCGUGGUGUGACUGCGUACCUUUUUGUAUAAUGGGGUCAGCGACUUAUAUUCUGUAGCAAGGUUUAACCGUAUAGGGGAGCCGAAGGGAAACCGAGUCUUAACUGGGCGUUAAGUUGCAGGGUAUAGACCCGAAACCCGGUGAUCUAGCCAUGGGCAGGUUGAAGGUUGGGUAACACUAACUGGAGGACCGAACCGACUAAUGUUGAAAAAUUAGCGGAUGACCUGUGGCUGGGGGUGAAAGGCCAAUCAAACCGGGAGAUAGCUGGUUCUCCCCGAAAGCUAUUUAGGUAGCGCCUCGUGAACUCAUCUUCGGGGGGUAGAGCACUGUUUCGGCUAGGGGGCCAUCCCGGCUUACCAACCCGAUGCAAACUACGAAUACCGAAGAAUGUUAUCACGGGAGACACACGGCGGGUGCUAACGUCCGUCGUGAAGAGGGAAACAACCCAGACCGCCAGCUAAGGUCCCAAAGUCAUGGUUAAGUGGGAAACGAUGUGGGAAGGCCCAGACAGCCAGGAUGUUGGCUUAGAAGCAGCCAUCAUUUAAAGAAAGCGUAAUAGCUCACUGGUCGAGUCGGCCUGCGCGGAAGAUGUAACGGGGCUAAACCAUGCACCGAAGCUGCGGCAGCGACRCUUAUGYGUUGUUGGGUAGGGGAGCGUUCUGUAAGCCGUUGAAGGUGGCCUGUGAGGGCUGCUGGAGGUAUCAGAAGUGCGAAUGCUGACAUAAGUAACGAUAAAAGCGGGUGAAAAGCCCGCUCGCCGGAAGACCAAGGGUUCCUGUCCAACGUUAAUCGGGG
rnacentral:rRNA from 1 species